rnacentral:rRNA from 1 species
UACGGAGGAUCCGAGCGUUAUCCGGAUUUAUUGGGUUUAAAGGGUGCGUAGGCGGAUGAUUAAGUCAGCUGUGAAAUACCGUCGCUCAACGGCGGCACUGCAGUUGAAACUGGUUGUCUUGAGAGUGCAAGAGGCAUGCGGAAUUCAUGGUGUAGCGGUGAAAUGCAUAGAUAUCAUGAAGAACCCCGAUUGCGAAAGCAGCAUGCUGGGGCAUAUCUGACGCUGAGUCACGAAAGUGCGGGUAUCAAACAGGAUUAGAUACCCUGGUAGUCCGCACAGUAAACGAUGAAUACUAGCUGUAGGCGAUAGACGGUCUGCGGCGCAAGCGAAAGCGUUAAGUAUUCCACCUGGGGAGUACGCCGGCAACGGUGAA